AUUGAACGCUGGCGGCAGGCCUAACACAUGCAAGUCGAACGGUAACAGGAAACAGCUUGCUGUUUCGCUGACGAGUGGCGGACGGGUGAGUAAUGUCUGGGAAACUGCCUGAUGGAGGGGGAUAACUACUGGAAACGGUAGCUAAUACCGCAUAACGUCGCAAGACCAAAGAGGGGGACCUUCGGGCCUCUUGCCAUCGGAUGUGCCCAGAUGGGAUUAGCUAGUAGGUGGGGUAACGGCUCACCUAGGCGACGAUCCCUAGCUGGUCUGAGAGGAUGACCAGCCACACUGGCACUGAGACACGGUCCGGACUCCUACGGGAGGCAGCAGUGGGGAAUAUUGCACAAUGGGCGCAAGCCUGAUGCAGCCAUGCCGCGUGUAUGAAGAAGGCCUUCGGGUUGUAAAGUACCUUCAGCGGGGAGGAAGGGAGUAAAGUCAAUACCUUUGCUCAUUGACGUUACCCGCAGAAGAAGCACCGGCUAACUCCGUGCCAGCAGCCGCAGUAA
rnacentral:rRNA from 1 species